rnacentral:rRNA from 1 species
AACGAACGCUGGCGGCAGGCUUAACACAUGCAAGUCGAACGGGUGCAGCAAUGCAUCAGUGGCAGACGGGUGAGUAACACGUGGGAACCUUCCUAGGGGUACGGAACAACUCAGGGAAACUUGAGCUAAUACCGUAUACGUCCGUGAGGAGAAAGAUUUAUCGCCCUUAGACGGGCCCGCGUCGGAUUAGCUAGUUGGUGGGGUAACGGCCUACCAAGGCGACGAUCCGUAGCUGAUCUUAGAGGAUGAUCAGCCACACUGGGCCUGAGACACGGCGCAGACUCCUACGGGAGGCAGCAGUGGGGAAGCUUGGACAAUGGGCGCAAGCCUGAUCCAGCCAUGCCGCGUGAGUGAAGAAGGUCUUCGGAUUGUAAAGCUCUUUUGCCAGGGACGAUAAUGACGGUACCUGGAGAAUAAGCCCCGGCAAACUUCGUGCCAGCCGCCGCGGUAA